ACUCAAAUGAAUUGACGGGGGCCCGCACAAGCGGAGGAACAUGUGGUUUAAUUCGAUGAUACGCGAGGAACCUUACCUGGGCUCGAACGCAGCGUGCUUGUGCCAGAAAUGGUACAUUCCGCAAGGACGCGUUGCGAGGUGCUGCAUGGUUGUCGUCAGCUCGUGCCGUGAGGUGUCGGAUUAAGUUCCAUAACGAGCGCAACCCUUAUCGUUAGUUGCCAGCGGGUUAAGCCGGGGACUCUAACGAAACUGCCAGCGUAAGCUGUGAGGAAGGUGGGGAUGACGUCAAAUCAGCACGGCCCUUACGUCCAGGGCUACACACGUGUUACAAUGGCCGGUACAGAGGGCAGCUACCCCGUGAGGGGAUGCGAAUCUCCAAAGCCGGUCACAGUUCGGAUCGAAGUCUGCAACUCGACUUCGUGAAGUUGGAUUCGCUAGUAAUCGCGCAUCAGCAAUGGCGCGGUGAAUACGUUCCCGGGCCUUGUACACACCGCCCGU
rnacentral:rRNA from 1 species